rfam:Felis catus isolate Cinnamon breed Abyssinian chromosome X, whole genome shotgun sequence.
GCCUGGGUGGCUUAGUCGGUUAAGCGUCUGACUUCGGCUCAGGUCAUGAUCUUACUGUCUGUGAGUUCGAGCCCCGCGUCGGGCU